rnacentral:rRNA from 1 species
UACGUAGGGGGCGAGCGUUGUCCGGAAUUAUUGGGCGUAAAGAGCUCGUAGGCGGCUCACUAAGUCGGAUGUGAAAACUCCAGGCUCAACCUGGAGACGCCAUUCGAUACUGGUGUGGCUUGAGUUCGGUAGGGGAGCACGGAAUUCCUGGUGUAGCGGUGAAAUGACGCAGAUAUCAGGAGGAACACCGGUGGCGAAGGCGGUGCUCUGGGCCGAAACUGACGCUGAGGAGCGAAAGCGUGGGUAGCAAACAGG